UACGGAGGGGGCUAGCGUUGUUCGGAAUUACUGGGCGUAAAGCGCACGUAGGCGGCUUUGUAAGUUAGAGGUGAAAGCCCAGGGCUUAACCCUGGAAUUGCCUUUAAGACUGCAUCGCUCGAAUUGUGGAGAGGUGAGUGGAAUUCCGAGUGUAGAGGUGAAAUUCGUAGAUAUUCGGAAGAACACCAGUGGCGAAGGCGGCCAACUGGACGAAUACUGACGCUGAGACACGAAAGCGUGGGGAGCAAACAGG
rnacentral:rRNA from 1 species